GGGGUUAGGGCCUAUAGUAGGUGUUUAGAGGCAAUAGUGGGGGGUUAGGACCUGUUGUAGGUGGUUAGAGGCAAUAGUGGGGGGUUAGGACCUGUAGUAGGUGGUUAGAGGCAAUAUUGGAGGGUUAGGACCUGUAGUAGGUGGUUAGAGGCAAUAGUCGGGGUUUGGGCCUGUAGUAGGUGGUUAGAGGCAAUAGUGGGGGUUAGGGCCUAUAGUAGGUGGUUAGGGGCAAAGUGGGGGGUUAGGACCUGUAGUAGGUGGUUAGGGGCAAAGUGGGGGGGUUAGGACCUGUAAUAGGUGGUUAGAGGCAAUAGUGGGGGGUUAGAACCUGUAGUAGGUGGUUAGAGGUAAUAGUGGGGGGUUAGGACCUGUAGUAGGUGGUUAGAGGCAAUAGUGGGGGGGUUGGGACCUGUUGUAGGUGGUUAGUGGCAAUAGUGGGGAGGUUAGGACCUGUAGUAGGUGGUUAGAGGUAAUAGUGGGGGGUUAGGACCUGUAGUAGGUGGUUAGAGGCAAUAGUGGGGGGUUGGGACCUGUUGUAGGUGGUUAGAGGUAAUAGUGGGGGGUUAGGGCCUGUAGUAGGUGGUUAGAGGCAACAGUGGAGGGGUUAGGACCUGUUGUAGGUGGUUAGGGGCAAAGUGGGGGGGUUAGGACCUGUAAUAGGUGGUUAGAGGCAAUAGUGGGGGGUUAGAACCUGUAGUAGGUGGUUAGAGGUAAUAGUGGGGGGUUAGGACCUGUAGUAGGUGGUUAGAGGCAAUAGUGGGGGGGUUGGGACCUGUUGUAGGUGGUUAGUGGCAAUAGUGGGGAGGUUAGGACCUGUACUAGGUGGUUAGAGGCAAUAGUGGAGGGUUAGAACCUGUAGUAGGUGGUUAGAGGCAAUAGUGGAGGGUUAGAACCUGUAAUAGGUGGUUAGAGGCAAUAGUGGAGGGUUAGAACCUGUAGUAGGUGGUUAGAGGUAAUAGUGGGGGGUUAGGACCUGUAGUAGGUGAUUAGAGGCAAUAGUGGGGGUUAGGGCCUGUAGUGGCGUUUAGAACCUGUAGAGGGGGGUUAGGGACAAUAGUGUGGGCUUAGGACCAGAAGAGCGAGCCCAGGACUGUGGUUCUGCCUAAAACUGAACAUAGCCUGGUUCACUAAAAAGUGAACUGGGCUAUGUGAAACUGAUAGCUGCGCUGUGGUACUAUCUGUGUGGUAAAAAAAUAUAUAUAUAUCAAUCAGGCAGCAUUGAUUAGAUCAGCGUUUCUAUUCGUAUUAACAAAUUAUUUUAAGUUUCGGUCAUAUAAACGGUUUUGCACUUUGUGCUUAUCUAGAGAUUUACAUGUUAUCAAUUUAUAU